UUGUCCGAGCGAUUGCAGAUGGAUGUGUUUAGCUAGGCAGGGUGCUAGAUGUUUAUUUUUUCAAAGAUAGUCCUUUUUCAGAAAUCAGUUAUAUCUGUGCGUGGUAGCAAUAUUUCCGAAUACUGGAGAAGCACAUUGUGCGGCUGCGGGAGAAGCUGGACAGGGAGAGGGAGGAGAGGAACAACUUCCAGCUAGAGAGGGACAAGGUCCACACCUUCUGGAAGAUCACCAAGAGACACCUGGACGAGAGGAAGGCAGACCUGAGGAACAGAGACCGGGAGAUGAAAGAGGCUGAGGAGCGCCACCAAUUUGAGAUCAAGAAAAACGACCAGGAAAUUACCAAAACGAGAAAUGACUUUGAGAGACAAGUGCGAGAAAUUGAGGCCAAGUAUGAGACGAAGAUGCAGAUGCUGCGUCAGGAGCAGGACCUGAGGAGGAAGACGGAGAUCGAGGAGAGGAGAGGAAGAACAGCCAGAUCAACACACUGACCAAGAACCACGAGAAGGCUUUCAGCGACAUCAAGAACUACUACAACGACAUCACCCUUAACAACC